rnacentral:rRNA from 1 species
GACGAACGCUGGCGGCGUGCUUAACACAUGCAAGUCACGGGGGCCCAGCAAUGGGUAACCGGCGAACGGGUGCGUAACACGUGAGCAACCUGCCGAUCUGAGGGGGAUAGCCGGCCCAACGGCCGGGUAAUACCGCAUACGGUUCUUGAGGGACAUCCCUUGGGAACGAAACCUCCGGGGCAGAUCGAGGGGCUCGCGGCCUAUCAGCUAGUUGGCGGGGUAACGGCCCACCAAGGCAACGACGGGUAGCUGGCUGAGAGGAUGGCCAGCCACAUUGGGACUGAGAGACGGCCCAGACUCCUACGGGAGGCAGCAGUGGGGAAUCUUGCGCAAUGGCCGAAAGGCUGACGCAGCGACGCCGCGUGUGGGAUGAAGCAUUUCGGUGUGUAAACCACUGUUGCCCGGGACGAACACCUUCUUUCGAGAAGGCUGACGGUACCGGGUGAGGAAGCACCGGCUAACUCCGUGCCAGCAGCCGCAG